rnacentral:rRNA from 1 species
AUUGAACGCUGGCGGCAGGCUUAACACAUGCAAGUCGAGCGAGCGGCUGACGGGUGAGUAAUGUCUGGGAAACUGCCUGAUGGAGGGGGAUAACUACUGGAAACGGUAGCUACUACCGCAUACCAUCAGAUGUGCCCAUAUGGGAUUAGCUAGUCGGUGGGGUAAUGGCUCACCUAGUCGACGAUCCCUAUCUGGUCUGAGAGGAGGACCAGACACACUGGAACGGAGACACGGUCCAGACUCCUACGGGAGGCAGCAGUGGGGAAGAUAGCACAAUGGGCGGAAGCCUGAUGCAGACAUGCCGCGUGUGUGAAGAAGGCCUUCGGGUGGUAAAGCACUUUCAGCGAGGAGGCGUUACUCGAAGAAGAAGCACCGGCUAACUCCGUGCCAGCAGCCGCGGUAAUAC